CACGUAGGGUGCGAGCGUUAAUCGGAAUUACUGGGCGUAAAGCGUGCGCAGGCGGUUUUGUAAGCCAGGUGUGAAAGCCCCGGGCCUAACCUGGGAAUGGCAUUUGGGACUGCAAGGCUGGAGUGUGGCAGAGGAGACUGGAAUUCCUGGUGUAGCAGUGAAAUGCGUAGAUAUCAGGAGGAAUACCGAUGGCGAAGGCAGGUCUCUGGGCUGACACUGACGCUCAUGCACGAAAGCGUGGGGAGCAAACAGG
rnacentral:rRNA from 1 species